ACACCGUGCCCACCUUGUGUGAGUGCGUUUGAGAAGGCAUUCAGGUGUUUCGCGAAGAACCCAUCUGAAAAUGUGAUCACACCUGUUCUUAGCACUACUUUCGACUCUUUUGUCCAGGCGUAUGACUUCUACAACUUGUAUUCGUGAGAGAAGGGUUUUGGCAUCCGGUAUGGCAAGAGAUGGCUAAAUGUCGAGAGGACAGAGUGCAUGCAGGAGAUAGUUGGUGGGUGCUCGGUUAGUUAUUAA
rnacentral:rRNA from 1 species